UAACCUUCCUCUUUGUACGGAUGCAGG
rnacentral:sRNA from 1 species